UACGGAGGGUGCAAGCGUUAUCCGGAUUCACUGGGUUUAAAGGGUGCGUAGGCGGGCAGGUAAGUCCGUGGUGAAAUCUCUGAGCUUAACUCAGAAACUGCUAUGGAUACUAUUUGUCUUGAAUGUUGUGGAGGUAAGCGGAAUAUGUCAUGUAGCGGUGAAAUGCUUAGAUAUGACAUAGAACACCAAUUGCGAAGGCAGCUUACUACACAAAUAUUGACGCUGAGGCACGAAAGCGUGGGGAUCAAACAGG
rnacentral:rRNA from 1 species